rnacentral:rRNA from 1 species
UACGUAGGGUGCGAGCGUUGUCCGGAAUUAUUGGGCGUAAAGGGCUCGUAGGCGGUCUGUCGCGUCGGGAGUGAAAACUCAGGGCUUAACCCUGAGCCUGCUUCCGAUACGGGCAGACUAGAGGUAUGCAGGGGAGAACGGAAUUCCUGGUGUAGCGGUGAAAUGCGCAGAUAUCAGGAGGAACACCAGCGGCGAAGGCGGCAUCCUGGACUGGUCCUGACGCUCAGGAGCGAAAGCGUGGGGAGCGAUCCGG